GGGAGCCGCCGGGCUCUAUCCGCCAGCCCACGAGAAGUGACGCAGGAGCACCAUUGAAGGAGAAUUAGACAAACUGGAGUCUACUGAGAUGAGGCUGUUGGGAAUGGCCCUGGUACCACAUCCUGAGCAGGGAUGGCCGAUGGAAUGGGGAGAAGACUCAGGUGGGGCUUGAGUGUGUCCUCUGAUGACUGAAGAGCCUUGGGAGCAAGCAUCCUUCCUGCUACUGUGUGUUUGCUGGUUCCAAUGAUACAUAAUUUGUGCUUUUCGUAAUUAAAGUAUUAUCCUGUA
rnacentral:lncRNA from 1 species